AGAGUUUGAUCCUGGCUCAGGACGAACGCUNGCGGCGUGCUUAACACAUGCAAGUCGAACGAUGAUGACCAAAGCUUGCUUUGGUUGGAUUAGUGGCGAACGGGUGAGUAACACGUGAGUAACCUGCCCCCUUCUUCGGGAUAACCAUUGGAAACGGUGGCUAAUACCGGGUAUGACAUCGGAUCGCAUGGUUUGGUGUGGAAAGGUUUUUUCUGGUGGGGGAUGGGCUCGCGGCCUAUCAGCUUGUUGGUGGGGUGAUGGCCUACCAAGGCUUUGACGGGUAGCCGGCCUGAGAGGGCGACCGGCCACACUGGGACUGAGACACGGCCCAGACUCCUACGGGAGGCAGCAGUGGGGAAUAUUGCACAAUGGGGGAAACCCUGAUGCAGCGACGCCGCGUGGGGGAUGAAGGCCUUCGGGUCGUAAACCCCUUUCAGUAAGGAACAAGGCCAUGAUUGUUGUUGUGGUUGAGGGUACUUGCAGAAGAAGCGCCGGCUAACUACGUGCCAGCAGCCGCGGUAAUACGUAGGGCGCAAGCUUGUCCGGAAUUAUUGGGCGUAAAGAGCUCGUAGGCGGUUUGUCGCGUCUGUCGUGAAAUCCCGAUGCUUAACGUCGGGCUUGCGGUGGGUACAGGCAGGCUUGAGUGCGGUAAGGGUGACUGGAAUUCCUGGUGUAGCGUGAAUGCGCAGAUAUCAGGAGGACACCGAUGCGAAGCAGUCACUGGCCGUUACUGACGCUAGACGAAACAUGGGAGCGACAGGAUUAGAUACCCUGGUAGUCCAUGCCCGUAAACGUUUGGGCACUAGGUGUGGGAUUGUUCCACGAUUCCUGUACCGUACUAACGCAUUAAGUGCCCGCCUGGGGAGUACGGCGCAAGGCUAAAACUCAAAGGAAUUGACGGGGGCCGCACAAGCGGCGGAGCAUGCGGAUUAAUUCGAUGCAACGCGAAGAACCUUACCAAGGCUUGACAUACGCUAGAUCGCUCCAGAGAUGGGGUUUUCCUUUGGACUGGUGUACAGGUGGUGCAUGGUUGUCGUCAGCUCGUGUCGUGAGAUGUUGGGUUAAGUCCCGCAACGAGCGCAACCCUUGUUCUAUGUUGCCAGCACGUAAUGGUGGGGACUCAUGGGAGACUGCCGGGGUCAACUCGGAGGAAGGUGGGGACGACGUCAAAUCAUCAUGCCCCUUAUGUCUUGGGCUUCACGCAUGCUACAAUGGCCGGUACAAUGGGUUGCGAUACUGUGAGGUGGAGCGAAUCCCUAAAAGCCGGUCUCAGUUCGGAUUGGGGUCUGCAACUCGACCCCAUGAAGUCGGAGUCGCUAGUAAUCGCAGAUCAGCAACGCUGCGGUGAAUACGUUCCCGGGCCUUGUACACACCGCCCGUCAAGUCACGAAAGUUGGUAACACCCGAACCGGCGGCCUAACCCCUUUUUUGGGAGGAGUUGUCG
rnacentral:rRNA from 1 species